rnacentral:rRNA from 1 species
AUUGAACGCUGGCGGCAGGCCUAACACAUGCAAGUCGAGCGGAUGAAGGGAGCUUGCUCCUGGAUUCAGCGGCGGACGGGUGAGUAAUGCCUAGGAAUCUGCCUGGUAGUGGGGGAUAACGUCCGGAAACGGGCGCUAAUACCGCAUACGUCCUGAGGGAGAAAGUGGGGGAUCUUCGGACCUCACGCUAUCAGAUGAGCCUAGGUCGGAUUAGCUAGUUGGUGGGGUAAAGGCCUACCAAGGCGACGAUCCGUAACUGGUCUGAGAGGAUGAUCAGUCACCCUGGAACUGAGCCACGGUCCAGACUCCUACGGGAGGCAGCAGUGGGGAAUAUUGGACAAUGGGCGAAAGCCUGAUCCAGCCAUGCCGCGUGUGUGAAGAAGGUCUUCGGAUUGUAAAGCACUUUAAGUUGGGAGGAAGGGCAGUAAGUUAAUACCUUGCUGUUUUGACGUUACCAACAGAAUAAGCACCGGCUAACUUCGUG